GGUCAAGUGAAGAAGCGCAUACGGUGGAUGCCUUGGCAGUCAGAGGCGAUGAAAGACGUGGUAGCCUGCGAAAAGCUUCGGGGAGUCGGCAAACAGACUUUGAUCCGGAGAUCUCUGAAUGGGGGAACCCACCUAGGAUAACCUAGGUAUCUUGUACUGAAUCCAUAGGUGCAAGAGGCGAACCAGGGGAACUGAAACAUCUAAGUACCCUGAGGAAAAGAAAUCAACCGAGAUUCCCUUAGUAGUGGCGAGCGAACGGGGAUUAGCCCUUAAGCUUCAUUGAUUUUAGCGGAACGCUCUGGAAAGUGCGGCCAUAGUGGGUGAUAGCCCCGUACGCGAAAGGAUCUUUGAAGUGAAAUCGAGUAGGACGGAGCACGAGAAACUUUGUCUGAACAUGGGGGGACCAUCCUCCAAGGCUAAAUACUACUGACUGACCGAUAGUGAACCAGUACCGUGAGGGAAAGGCGAAAAGAACCCGGAGAGGGGAGUGAAAUAGAACCUGAAACCGUAUGCGUACAAGCAGUGGGAGCCUACUUGUUAGGUGACUGCGUACCUUUUGUAUAAUGGGUCAGCGACUUAUAUUCAGUGGCAAGCUUAACCGUAUAGGGUAGGCGUAGCGAAAGCGAGUCUUAAUAGGGCGUUUAGUCGCUGGGUAUAGACCCGAAACCGGGCGAUCUAUCCAUGAGCAGGUUGAAGGUUAGGUAACACUGACUGGAGGACCGAACCCACUCCCGUUGAAAAGGUAGGGGAUGACUUGUGGAUCGGAGUGAAAGGCUAAUCAAGCUCGGAGAUAGCUGGUUCUCCUCGAAAGCUAUUUAGGUAGCGCCUCAUGUAUCACUCUGGGGGGUAGAGCACUGUUUCGGCUAGGGGGUCAUCCCGACUUACCAAACCGAUGCAAACUCCGAAUACCCAGAAGUGCCGAGCAUGGGAGACACACGGCGGGUGCUAACGUCCGUCGUGAAAAGGGAAACAACCCAGACCGCCAGCUAAGGUCCCAAAGUUGUGGUUAAGUGGUAAACGAUGUGGGAAGGCUUAGACAGCUAGGAGGUUGGCUUAGAAGCAGCCAUCCUUUAAAGAAAGCGUAAUAGCUCACUAGUCGAGUCGGCCUGCGCGGAAGAUGUAACGGGGCUCAAACCACACACCGAAGCUGCGGGUGUCACGUAAGUGACGCGGUAGAGGAGCGUUCUGUAAGCCUGUGAAGGUGAGUUGAGAAGCUUGCUGGAGGUAUCAGAAGUGCGAAUGCUGACAUGAGUAACGACAAUGGGUGUGAAAAACACCCACGCCGAAAGACCAAGGGUUCCUGCGCAACGUUAAUCGACGCAGGGUUAGUCGGUUCCUAAGGCGAGGCUGAAAAGCGUAGUCGAUGGGAAACAGGUUAAUAUUCCUGUACUUCUGGUUACUGCGAUGGAGGGACGGAGAAGGCUAGGCCAGCUUGGCGUUGGUUGUCCAAGUUUAAGGUGGUAGGCUGAAAUCUUAGGUAAAUCCGGGGUUUCAAGGCCGAGAGCUGAUGACGAGUCGUCUUUUAGAUGACGAAGUGGUUGAUGCCAUGCUUCCAAGAAAAGCUUCUAAGCUUCAGGUAACCAGGAACCGUACCCCAAACCGACACAGGUGGUCGGGUAGAGAAUACCAAGGCGCUUGAGAGAACUCGGGUGAAGGAACUAGGCAAAAUGGCACCGUAACUUCGGGAGAAGGUGCGCCGGCUAGGGUGAAGGAUUUACUCCGUAAGCUCUGGCUGGUCGAAGAUACCAGGCCGCUGCGACUGUUUAUUAAAAACACAGCACUCUGCAAACACGAAAGUGGACGUAUAGGGUGUGACGCCUGCCCGGUGCCGGAAGGUUAAUUGAUGGGGUUAGCGCAAGCGAAGCUCUUGAUCGAAGCCCCGGUAAACGGCGGCCGUAACUAUAACGGUCCUAAGGUAGCGAAAUUCCUUGUCGGGUAAGUUCCGACCUGCACGAAUGGCGUAACGAUGGCGGCGCUGUCUCCACCCGAGACUCAGUGAAAUUGAAAUCGCUGUGAAGAUGCAGUGUAUCCGCGGCUAGACGGAAAGACCCCGUGAACCUUUACUGUAGCUUUGCACUGGACUUUGAGCCUGCUUGUGUAGGAUAGGUGGGAGGCUUUGAAGCGUGGACGCCAGUUCGCGUGGAGCCAUCCUUGAAAUACCACCCUGGCAUGCUUGAGGUUCUAACUCUGGUCCGUGAUCCGGAUCGAGGACAGUGUAUGGUGGGCAGUUUGACUGGGGCGGUCUCCUCCUAAAGAGUAACGGAGGAGUACGAAGGUGCGCUCAGACCGGUCGGAAAUCGGUCGCAGAGUAUAAAGGCAAAAGCGCGCUUGACUGCGAGACAGACACGUCGAGCAGGUACGAAAGUAGGUCUUAGUGAUCCGGUGGUUCUGUAUGGAAGGGCCAUCGCUCAACGAUAAAAAGGUACUCCGGGGAUAACAGGCUGAUACCGCCCAAGAGUUCAUAUCGACGGCGGUGUUUGGCACCUCGAUGUCGGCUCAUCACAUCCUGGGGCUGAAGCCGGUCCCAAGGGUAUGGCUGUUCGCCAUUUAAAGUGGUACGCGAGCUGGGUUUAGAACGUCGUGAGACAGUUCGGUCCCUAUCUGCCGUGGACGUUUGAGAUUUGAGAGGGGCUGCUCCUAGUACGAGAGGACCGGAGUGGACGAACCUCUGGUGUUCCGGUUGUCACGCCAGUGGCAUUGCCGGGUAGCUAUGUUCGGAAAAGAUAACCGCUGAAAGCAUCUAAGCGGGAAACUUGCCUCAAGAUGAGAUCUCACUGGGAACUUGAUUCCCCUGAAGGGCCGUCGAAGACUACGACGUUGAUAGGCUGGGUGUGUAAGCGUUGUGAGGCGUUGAGCUAACCAGUACUAAUUGCCCGUGAGGCUUGACCAU
rnacentral:rRNA from 1 species